UUUUGAUCUUUGGCCAUAGUCGAGGAGUGCAUGUUUGGAGAACCGCAUGGAGAGCACGUUCCGACCCUCAACCAUGGCCGAAGAGCACAUAUUUGGAGAACUGUAUAGAGAACCACAUAGAGAACAUAUUCCGAUCCUCGAUCAUGGCUGAGGAGUGUUUGUUUGGAGAACUGCAUGGAGAACAAAUUUCAAUCCUCGAUCGUGGUUGAGGAUCGUGUGCUUGGAGAACCAUAUGGAGAACCGUAUGGAGAACAUAUUUCGAUCCCCAAUCAU
rnacentral:lncRNA from 1 species